GGGCACUUGGCGCAGCUGGUAGCGCGCUCGCUUCGCACUUCGUUUCGUCACUGUGUUAUGCGAGAGGUCGUGGGUUCAAAUCCCACAGUGUCCA
rnacentral:tRNA from 1 species